rnacentral:rRNA from 1 species
AUACGGAGGGUGCAAGCGUUGCUCGGAAUUACUGGGCGUAAAGCGUACGCAGGCGGUCUGAUAAGUCGGGUGUGAAAGCCCCGGGCUCAACCCGGGAACGGCAUCCGAAACUGCCAGACUAGAGUUCGGGAGAGGGAAGUGGAAUUCCUGGUGUAGAGGUGAAAUUCGUUGAUAUCAGGAGGAACACCGGCGGCGAAAGCGGCUUCCUGGCCCGAUACUGACGCUCAUGUACGAAAGCGUGGGGAGCAAACAGGAUUAGAUACCCUGGUAGUCCACGCCGUAAACGAUGAGUGCUAGAUGUUGGAGGUAUUCACCCCUUCAGUGUCGAAGCUAACGCAUUAAGCACUCCGCCUGGGGAGUACGGCCGCAAGGUUAAA